rnacentral:tmRNA from 1 species
GGGGGUGACUGGUUUCGACAGGGUUGUUCUGAGGUGGGCAGCAAGCCGUGGUCUCCUCGCCACGUUAAACAGGGGUACCGUCAAAUUGAAUUGACGACAACUCUUAUGUGGGCGACUACGCCCUCGCCGCUUAAUUAACAGCCGGCGCGUCUAACCGGGGGUUUCCCUCGCUCCCGGGGCGACGUCAUUUGAGAGGGAUGCUCCUGCGGACGUAGCGCGUAUGCCGCAGGCCAAGACCGAACGAGCUAGGGCACCGAUUGUGGGUCACCACGCGUGACGUGCCCGAAUCCUUUGUGGUGACUGAGCUUGGAGACACCUGCCAGGGGAUGGCUUUGGACCGGAGUUCGAUUCUCCGCACCUCCACCA